rnacentral:lncRNA from 1 species
ACCUGUUUUUUACAAUGUAAUUAAUUACAUUUCGAUUACUUGUAAUCAGAAAUUACACCAUUACUAAUUACAUAGGAUAACCCUACAAAAUGUAAUCGAUUACAGCUGAUUUCGGGAAAUUAACUGUUUCAACAGCACGACAGUUAGUUAGACUGAAAUUAAAUAAAAAAUAGUUGAAUGUUAUUUUCUUUAAAUCGGGCUGAUACUUAUGCUUUUAACUGUCUCGUUUUUUCUUCUUUAUUGGGAGUUACCUUAAACAUUUUGGCAAUAAAUAAAACUUGGCAACAAUUUAAUCUAUACAAACAUUAAAUCAAUCAAACCUUUGGCAAGCUACAAGAAUUUUUUUUUUUUUUUACUAGAAUGUCAACAUUAAUCAAUAUCAAAUUUAAUGGAAGUCAAAUUCGUCAGUAGGGACAAAAAUAAAAUCUGUUAAUUUGUCAACGUGUUUGGGUUGUUUUUUUCUUGUCUGUGGUGUUGUCGAUUUUUCCUCGAUUUUUAUUAUUGGUUCCUCUAUAUUUUCUGGCGUCUGCUGAUAUUUCAGCUUAAAUAUGUAACAAGGUUUUUGCUGUAGAUAGUAAAUAUACUUUUUUUUUAAAUGAUGUUGAUGCAGGAUUCUCCAAUUCUUUCUAAUAGCAGGGAAUGUAAAACUCAAAUCAUAUACUUUGUUGUAUUAUUUAUUUACAUAUUUACACAUAAUUAAAUUCAUUUCACUACAUCAUAAGGUGAUUUGUGAAUACUACAGAGUUUUAACAUUUCGUAUUUAAAUAAUAUCAAUAUACAUAUUGUAUAUAGUAUUAACCUACUCUUAUAUAUCAUACUGGAAAUUAUUUCAUAAUGAGACAUCGUAUGUAUCCACUAUUAAAUUUUAGUGCUUUUUUAUAUUUUUUAUAAUUUUAUAUUUUUGUUGUUUGUUAGCCAAGUAAGUUUUAGAGCCGAAGAAGCUAUCUGUGUUCAAAAAUAAAUAAAUGAUUUUUAAUAAAAAAAAACAAAAAGAAAAGUUAGAAUUGGCUUAAUAAUCAUAGUACCAAAGAAGCACAAACCACUGAUUUUUAAAAACAAUAAACUAAUUAGAUGUGGUAUGAUUGGUAAGCAUGUUAAUGUGUAGAGUCCCCUUCAUGUACACUGGCAUAUUUCAAGCAGUCUUAGGUAUCAUAAUAAGCUAUAUUCAGUCAUUAUAGGGAUCAAUAUAUAUGACUCGAAGGGAGUUAAAGUCACAUUUAACAUGUUUCUGUUUAUUGUUAGUACAAAAUGUUCUGAAAAUUUUCAUAAACAACACCACAAACAGAAAGUGAAAUUGACAAAACAAUACAUACACAAUAUCUUUCAUUAUCCCUUAAGCUAACCUGUAAGCCCCUCAAAAAGAAAGAGUUGAUUACUUAAUGAAAGUACAAUUUCUAGCCAAUACUAAAGAAAUGCAUCUAAUUUUGAGUAGAAAUUUACAUUUCAUCACAUUUUGUAAAUAUGCAGACAACUGUCAUAGCAAUUGCAUAAGAAGUGGAACAUUUCUUCGUUAUACAAAGGAAUAAGCUGUUUUAUUUCAGUAGAAACAUGCUACAACAUAAUAAAAAGUUAUCAGGUAUUACAACGUGCCUUUUUAAGUUAAGACACAACAUGCUUACAUUGAAUCAAGAGGCAAAUAGCAUUUUCGGACCCAAGACUUUCAAAAAGGAGAUGGGACUCGAGUCACUCUGAAAAAAUAAAGAGGGAUCAGCAAUCAAAAAUCAGGAAAAAUGCACUACAAACACGAAAUUGUUUGGCCAAAAGGGUCUUUCUUGAGUUUCCCCUCCCAAAAAAAAUUAAGACAACAAUAUAUCUAUAAAUACACACACAUCAAUAUGCACAUUAGGUGUAUAAAAAUAAUAAUAAAUCAAACCGAAUUAUACAAAAUUCAACAAGAUAUAAUAGCAAUAACUAAAUCUACAAUAAAUUCAACAAACAAUUGCAUAACAUAAUUUUAUACAUAACUAUUACAUGUUUCGUAUCACAUCUACCAAAAUAUCAAACAGAACAGCACUAUCUAAAACAGAAGAGUAAAUAAUGGCAGUACAAUAUAAUGAUUUUUCUAUGAUCACUAAAAUAAAAAAAUAUCACACAGGUAAUGGUUAAAAAAAUUAAACCUGUUGUGUCAGUAACUUCUUGUUGUUUUAUAACAAGUUGACUUUAUAGACAAACAAAAUUACUAGACUUGGAGUCAGUUACAUUUUUGGACAUCAAUGACAACUAAAUAAAAUAAGAAUAAAUGCUUGUUAGCAGUUAUCCAUCAAUUACAGAAUAUAAAAUAAGAAGCAGUGGUUUGACUGCCAAUAAUGAGAAUAUUCCCCACACAGUCAAACAAGCAAGAAAAGGAACAACUAUAUCAAUGUUGAGCAAGGACCUUACAGAAAGUCAUUCUGUAAAAAGCCCCAGAGACAACUUUGAACAGCAAAAAUCAGUAAAAACACAAAUAAAAUCAGAUUAAUAGGAAGACAACAUCAAAUCAAAAUGUAAUGGAUUCUGGGUAAUAUUUUCAAAUGCAUAGACUGAACCAUUGUAAUUGGUUUACAUUGUCCUAAAUAGUAGAUGUCCAACCAAUAUAUAUGAAAGUUAUUUUCAUUUUCCUGUUCUAAGAAUCAAAUUACCCACAGCCUUAACAAAUUUUGAAAUCGUUAAUUAGAUGAAUUAAUAGGAACCUACUAAAUACCGAAACAGUAAAAUAGAUGAGUGUACUAGGCAAUCCAAUGAAAAAUGCAUUACUUACUUCUUACCUAUCAAAUGCAUCUACAUAUAUUUAGCAGAUAAUUUUUUAACUUUAUAAGGUUUCAAGUUGUAAAGGAAAAAAAAUUAUACAUUAAAAUCUCAAUAAUAUAAAGAAACAUAGAAAUUGGAUUGACAUAGAUCACAUUCAUGACAUUAGGGCUGUACCAUUAACAAGUGUGUGAGAGGUUAGGAAAGGACUUCUAAAUAUCCCUACAACUAAGAACCAUUUUUUAGAUAAUUUGGCAUAAUGGUAAUAGAUGCAUACUGAAAAAAAGACCCAUGACCCACAAUCAAAAAUUAAACUUCCCUACCUACCCUCCCACAUAUACAUUUAAAUGGAAUAGCCCUUACUGUGCAUGUGAAAAUGUCAAUGUAACAUUCAGACUGACUGACUAACUCAUCAGAUAGCACCUACCAUACAUUAAUAAGAUUUAUUCGGUUUUUUUAAUUAAAUUUUCUUUUAAAAAUAAAAAGAAUAAAUUGGCAUAAAGAUGUCUUUCAAUGCAACAGCUCCUAUAGGUUUCAGUUAUUAGUUGUUAUCAUUUUACAACAAAUAUCCAGCCCAAUUGUUUAACUCGUUUAUACAAAAUACAAAAACAUAGAAAAAACAAGCAACAAAAUUCUAUACCACGGUUUACAUAUCCCAUAUGUCUAACAGAUAAGGCCACACCAAUUUAAUUUCUUGUUCUGCGGAUUUUUGGACUCCAAAAAUUGGGGCGAGCGAGCGAUUUGAAAAUUUUAAUAAAAAAAUAUUGAUUUUGCAAAUUUUUGAGGCGAGCGAUUAUAUAUUUUUUUUGUAAACAUAAAAUAGUAGGUUUUGACAAUAUUAAAACUUGAUUUAUCACUUGUACUUUAACAUUCUUUAAUUUAUGAAGUAUUUUUCCCUGGUCACCAAUAAAUAAUUGAAUAAUUAGAUUUGGUUAUGUAUGUGUGCCAAUUAAUGAGACAAUUCUCCAUUCAAGUCAUAAUCAGGUUGGGAAACAACCCUUAUUUUAACAAUAUCCUUUUUAUGAGGAGUCAAUAUAAGUUACAAUAUAUUUUUUUGUAAAUAAAACUUUUUAGUACAAAAGACCUCAUAUUUUCGCAAAGAACUACAUAUCUAUCUGGUAUUAAAUGGUCAAAACAUGCCCAAGAAUUUUGUAAUAUUCCUGAACUUAGGCCAUGUUAACACAUUUACUUUAAUAUUAUUCAAAAUAAAUAAUAUCAUAAAUAAUUCUCU